rnacentral:lncRNA from 1 species
AGGGGGGAUUUUGGAUGGUUGAGAUGAGAUUGUGGGGUAUUUUGGACGGUUGUGAUGAGAUUGUGAGAUAUUGGGUGGUUAUGAUGGGAUUGCGGGAAUAUUGCGGAUUAGUCCUUUCCCUUUGAUCAUAUUACACCUUAAUAAAAAUAUUAUAUGAUUAAGGUGGGGCAUUUUGUAAAUAUAUAAAAGGGAAUAGACUAAUAUGCUAUUUUAUAUACCCGUACGUAUUAUUUUUUCGCAAUCCGGUGCAUGAGAUAUUUUCAAAAUUUAAAUUUUAUCCAUGCACCUGGUGCAUAGAUGAUCUCAUAAGCCAUCUCUAUUUUUAUUUCUUUCUCUCCCUCUUUUUUUUAUUCCUCUGUCUUUUUUUCUUUUUUUUUUUCUUUUUUUUUUUAUGCUUCAACAAUCGGUUUAGUCCCUACCUUUACUAUUUCUGAAUAAUUAACUUAGACACUUUAUGGUUCAGUGGUUUUUCUUAAAUAAAUGUUUAUGGUUUUGUGAAGUUAAUUAAAGCACUCGUGGUUUUCAUGUAAAAUAUUGGAAUUAUUUUCUACCCCUCGUGGUAGCAUUUUAAAGGAAAAUGUUUCCGUGUGAAAAAUAGUUUUAAAAAGGGUUUAUUGAUUUUUCGUAAUUCUUAGUAUUUCAAAAUGAGUUUCUGAGUGGAAAACGUUUUAAACUAAUAGAUGUGGAUUUACGAAUAUCUGUGAUGAAAUGAAUGGUGUAUGUGAAUGGUGUUUGUAUGUGGAUGUUCAUACUUGUGGUUGUAUCUUGUACUUGUGCGACGCCGUACCAAUAUAGGAGAGACUCUGUCCGUGUGAAUAGUGGAUACUCUGUAUUUGUGGCGGAUCUUACAUCCUUUAGGGUCAAGGUUUUCAAGAAAGAAGAAGUAAAAAAAAAAAAAAAAAUUUGGGCACUUCCGCAUUGGCUUUUAAAUCCAAAAAGGUAUCAGAGCCAAUCACUAGCCGAAAAUGUGUGGAAAGUCUCGGCUGAGCCAAGGUUUGAAAGACAAGGUGAUAGGCUAUGUCGGAGUCUGUAUGACAAGGUGACCGGCUAUGUCAAGGUCUGGAUAACAAGGCUAGUGAGGCGAGUCUCACAUCGCCUGGUGAUCUUGGAUUGUGUGUGUGAUUGGACUGACGAGGACGUCAGGGUUUUAACGGAGGGAGUCUGUCACACCCCAAUAAUCCCACAUCGGAUAGAAAUGGAGGUGUGAUUGGGUAUAUAAUAGACUUAGACACUAGUAAUAACAACUGGGCUUAAGCAUUUUGAGCCGGUGGCUGGGCUCAACGAGUUAUUAUUGCUAGCAGGUCAGGUAGAUACAAAAACGCCAUUUGACGGUGAGGUUUGUGCUGUGAAACACGGCUUGGUGGCGGGAUUUGGGCCGUGAAGUCCGAAUCUGUUAUAGGCCAAACACUUGUCGAAUAGAUUGGAAUGUAAACCACCAUUCGGCAGCGAGAUUCGGGACGUGAAACACAGCUCGGUGGGCGUGAAGCACGAAUCCGUUGCAGGACAAACAUCUGCGUCAAACAGGUUAAUUUGGAAUGUAAAAUACUAUUUGACGGCAAGGUUUGGAGAUACGGAACCAUUACCUGCCAAACACAUGUCAAAUUAAGUAGCGAAUUUAUCCUGUUGGAUAUGAUUGUGACAUGUCAAGAGAAGCAUUCGAACGUCAAAUUAAGUAGCGAAUUUGCCAUGUUGGAUAUGAUUGUGACAUACUAUUGACGGCGAGGUUUGGAGCGUGAAACACAAUUCGAUGGUAGAAUCUGUAUACGUCAAAUACGGAACCAUUACCUGCCAAACACACGUCAAAUUAAGUAGCGAAUUUAUCCUGUUGGAUAUGGUUGUGACAUGUCAAGAGAAGCAUUCCAACGUCAAAUUAAAUAGCGAAUUUAUCAUGUUGGAUAUGAGUGUGACAUGUAUUCCAACGUCAAAUUAAGUAGCGAAUUUAUCAUGUUGGAUAUGAUUGUGACAUGUCAAGAAAAGCAUUCCAAGGCCUUCCAGGUGUAAGGACGACAUGCGUUGCCAAUUUACUGUGACAUUAUUUUCUGUGACAUCAUUUAUUUGCCAAAUUGGAGAAGAAUAUUCAUCUUUUUUUUUUUUUUUACUGUAACUCUAUUUUGUUUACUCGUGUUAGGCGACUCUUAAUACCAAAACAUGCCAAAAGUAGAGAAGAGUCAUCUCCAAAAAAUUAGAAAAUUUUCAAAUAUUCAUAUAUUUUAUCCAAUUAAUACAUCCAAAACUAUAUCCUUAAUCUCCAGAAAUUUAUUAUAUUUAUUAAAAAUCUAAAUAAAUUUUUAUUUUUCUGAAUUUUUGUAAAUACUAACAUGGUCGACCAAUUUUUAUAUUUUUAUCAUAUUUAUGGUUGAAUAAAAAAAAUUGCAAAAUUUAUCGAUCUUCACGGUUUUCAUUUUUUCAAUGCAUUGCGUAUUCGAAGCACCUAGUUAAUUAAGACUGAAAGGAAUAAGGAAAAAAAAAAAGGUAUUACAGAAAGCCAAGUGACCCUACAUUAGUAGAAAUUUUAGUAAAAUACCCGCGCGAUGCUGCGGAUCUAAAAUAUUUUUAUAAUAAAUUUUAUUUUUUAAUAUUUUUAUAUAGUUUUAUAAGUCUAAUUAUUAAUUAAAUAAAAAUUAUAUAAAAAUAAUUUAAUAGUUAAAUCUUAAAAUUGAUAUAUGCCCAAAUAAAUUUAUACAUCACUUUAUUUUAUAAAGAUUUAUAUGAGAAAGAUUUGAGAUAAAUCUAUCAAAAUAAUUUUUAAAAAAUCAAUAGAUAGAAGGGAAGUAAAUUUGUAGAAUAAAUUGCUUAAUAAAAUUAUUAGCAGCGUAGUAGGCCGAGUUCAUUGGAUAAUUUUUGUUGAUUCAAUUAUUACAGGUCUAAAUUAAUUCUUAGAUGGAGAUCAACAUGUAUAUUUUUUGAAGAUAUAUUAUAUUGGUUGGCGACUAACAGACCUUUCAUUUAUUUUUCUAACUUUAUAAAGAAAUCAAGAUCAGUGUUGAGAGUAUAAAUUUAUUCUAAACAAAUAAAGUUUGAAGUGAAAAUAUUUUUUAAAAAUUCAAAAAGUAUUAGCGCAAUAAAUUAACCCUCUUAUGCUAGCUCUUUAUUCAAGCCAUACUAUCUCACCAUUAAUAAUAUUUAUUCUUUUGUUUUUUAUAAUCAUAAUAAUUUUAUUCCCACAAUUUUGAUGAUAGAUUUAUAAAAAACUUAUUGUUUAAUAUAUUUUAAAUAUAUUUAUUUAUAAAAAAACUAUAAUAAUAAUAUUUAUAGUAUAAUAAUUAUUGUAUAGUAAUAAUAUAUAUAUAUAUAAUAUAUAUAUAUAUAUAUAUAUAUAUAUAUAUAUAUAUAUAUAUAUAUAUAUAUACUAGUAAAAUGUACGUGCAAAUGCACAUAAUAAUUAUUAGAAAAAGUUAUAAUUUUUUAAAUUAUUUUUUAAUUUUAGGUCAUAUUUUAUAUGAUUGCCAAAUAUGUAUCUAAAAAUUUAAAAUAAUAAAUCACGCUAUUAAGAAAGAUAUGCUUUAAAUGAUAAAUAAUUAACAAUAAUCUCUAAUGCAAAAAUUACUUUUGAAAUUAAAUAGAAAAAUAAAAUCUGUUAGGAAAUAAAAUUUUGAAAUUAAAUAAAAAUAUAAAAUCCGUUAUCUUAAAAAGAUAAUAUAUUUUGAAAUUAAAUAGAUAAUAUCUAAAAAAGAUAUUUUAAAAUAAAAUGAAAAAAUAUCUUUUAUAGGAUUUUCACACCCGUAAUCUGUUAUAGAAAACUUACUUUUGAAAUUAAAUGAAAAAAUUUAUAUUUUAGAAUUUCACAUCAGUAAUCUGUUAUAGAGAACUUACGUAUUCAUUGCUGUUCUAUUUCUAUUUUAUUCUUAUAUUUAAAUUUUUCGUACGGAAAGAAAAAAAUGGGCGCUAAUUUUCUCCCCGAAAAAUGGUGUGUCGACCGACACCAAAUUUGAAUAUACGUGCUUUUUAUAUAUAGUAUAGAUAUAUAAUAUAUAAUAUAAAUAGAAAAAAUAUUUAUAUAUAAUAAUAAUUUAUUAUAUUAUUUAUUUUUCUUUCAACGAAACAACUAUAAAGAAAAUUUAUUGAGUUACCGACCGUCCCUGCGCGCAAGUGGCAAAAGGUUGAUGGUUAGUAUCCGAAGUUCGAAGUUCGAAUCCUACAUGAUUCACAUUUCAGCAAGUUUAUUUCUAAAUGAAAUAAACGAAGCGGAUAGAAUGCUACCCAUCAUCUCGAUCUACAAAAAAAAAAGUGACGGAUGUUGGAAUCGGGUAUAUGAUCGGAUUGCAUCGAGAUAUAUAUUAAAAUUGUAGCGAGUAUUGCUAUUUAGUUUAAUUACCCGUACGUUAAUAUUAAUAUUUGUUUUUAAUAUUGGAUUAUGAGGCAUUUUGUGUUUGAAAAAUAUGUUUUUUAAAUAGGUUGGGCCGUGAAAUACAAUUUGGAUCGAGCAUGACCGAUCGUUCCUAGCGCAAGUAGCAAAACACUUGGUAGUUCAUACUUAAUUAAGGUCUCAAGUUCGAAACCUUAUUGCUUUACAUUUUCAGCUAAAUUUAUUUCUAAAAAAAUUAAACGAAACUAGUAGCAUGCUAUCUUCCUCUCAAACAAAAAUCGAGUCUUUUGACACGUCAGGGCGUGAAACAUGUCGGAGGGAAAUACGAUUUGGGUGGAACAGGUUUAGAAUAUGAAAUAUGAUUUGUGUCGAAUAGGUUUGGAGCGUGAAACACGAUUCGAAUGCGAGGUUUGGAACGUGAAACACGACUCCACGGCGAGGCUUGUGCCGUGAAAUACAUUAAACUGAACAAGGGUUUAUAAGUUGGGUAUGAUUAUUGUAACUUAGUUAAUUCGGAUUCGGCAAAAAUUCGGUACGGAUAUAAUACGCAUAAAAUUCGUUUUUCUAAUUUUUAAAUUCGUUAAAAAAUUCGGCUUAAAAAAUAGAUUCGGUUUAAAAUAUAAAAUAUAAAAUAUAAGAUAAUUUAUAUUUAAAAAUAAAAAUUAUAAAUUUUUUAUUCAUAUUUUCAAUAAUUUGGGAAUAAUUUGCGGAGCCCAAAAAUUCACGAAUAAUUAUCUUUCUUUGGGAAAAAUUCGUAAAUGGACUGUUUAAUUCGGAUUUUCAAUAAUUCGUGAAUAAUUCGCGAAUAAUUUGCGAAUUAACUAACUAGGAUUGUAACAUGCCAAGAGUAGCAUUCAAAGGCUUUCCAGCUGGCGUGAGGAUGACAUGCAUCGUUAAUUUCCUAACAAUAAUUAGUGUGUAGGGAACCCCAAACCCUAAAGGCAAGUGUUCUUAUUCCCUUAAUUAUAAAUACCCCACCGCAUGCAUCCUAUCCCUCAUAGCAAUCAUCCUAUCCCUUCAACACCAAUCCACCGUUUUUGAGAAUAAACAACCAACAAUGGGGGUUAGUAACUAGAUUAAUCGAAGCUUACAAUUCAUUCCUGUACUAUUAUUUUUUAUUUUUGUUUUUUCAUCUGAAGUAUCCACNGCUUAGAUACUUUAUCAUCAAAUAGUACUACAAAGAGAUAGGUAGCACACUACCCGCUUCACUUCGUUUAUUUCAUUUAAAAAUAAACACUACUCGCUUCACUUUGUUUAUUUCUUUUUAAAAUAAUUUAGCUAGAAAUAUGAAUCAAAUAGGAUUCGAACUUGGAGCUUCGGUACCAACCAUCAAGCCCUUCAUUAUGCCUUUUAAUUCUCUCUUUACAUUUGCUACCUUUGCCUUUACAGUCAUACUUAAGAACUUUUACAGCUGGGACCCUAAUUCAUGACAUUAUUAAUUUUCAUUAUGCUGCGACGGUUACACUAAUAUGUACGGAACGUGAAAUUAAUCCGCCAUCGGUUUUAUCUUGCAAUGUAUUAUCACAGCUUGUUAGCAAACAACCAUAAUUAAGAAUAAGCUGAUUAAUUAACAUAUCCAGAAUAAAAACUUAAAUCCGAUUCCUCUCAUGUACUAACUAUAAGCUUCAAUUUGAGCUCUCCUUCUAAAUUUGUUUUACCCUUCUAUAAAUUCGAAGAAGAAGACUUCUUUUCUCUUCUUCUCUUUCGCAUACAAUGUCGCACCCUCCGUGCCAAUUAAGCAAGGUUUUCAAAAAGAGACUCCGCCGAAAUCACUUUUAAAAAAAUAAAAGAAUUGCUGAGUUCACACACAAAAGUCCUUUUUUUUAAGAGAAAGGUAGCAAAUAAAUUCGGCUGGAAGCGUAAACCAACUAGACUUCGAACUUAGGACCUCGGGAACGUUGCAACCACCAAACCUUUGUCCCUUGCACUAGGGUUCACGCCCAAAAAGUUAAUUAGCACUUCUAUGCCUUAUAUAUAUAACACAGAUAAUUAAGCAGCAACCUGCCCACUACCCUUGUAUAUAUAAUAAGAUAUGUCUACUCUAUUACAUAUUUAAAUCUUCAUCCUAAUCAAGUUAGGAUAUAAUUACAAGUCUAACGAAAUUAUAACAAUCAGUUGAGUUUCUGGAUAGACGAUCAAUUCAAUCGCCUCUCCAACUACAUAUUGCGGACCAAAACUACGUACUGCAGUCCGUCCAACUCGCAACAGUUGUUGUGUAGUUGCUAGCUAGCUUCAAAUUAGCUUGUUUCGAACUACCUCUCAAGUCGGAAAGAGAACAAUAUGGAAGUGGAGAAGAAUUUUGGGGAAGCCACUUAGCUUCGCAUAUAUUUUAGUUCAGCACCAAGUUCAAAUUAAACUAAUUAGGUAAAAAUGACACCGGCCGAUUUUUUCACAUCCAAUUUACUGUUGUACAAUUUCUCUAUUCCACAGGUUCAAAUCAGUCGCAGACUUACCGGCAUACGAGUUACGGUGGAUAGUAAAGACAACCUUACUGUUGUUCGAUCGCUUACUCUUGUCGCCGGUCCUAAUAUCAGCUAUGGACCAUAUGGUUCUUCUGGAGCGGGAAAUUCUUUCAGUGCAAAUGGUACAAAUAUUGUUGGCUUUUUUGGGCGUUCUUCAGCGGAGCUGAUUAAUGCAAUUGGGAUCUACAUAAAUACCUAGUUUCUCUCUACUCUAUCUGCCCCGGGUUUACUACGUGACCUUACUAUAUAUACGUAUAUAUAGCAAUAAGGAUACAGUGUGCCGGGUAUCCAUUAUGUCCGUUAUGUCUUUAUGUGUGUCUAUAUAUGUUUAGCGGGCAAUAGUCGAAUUAAAAAAAAAAAAAAAAGAGUUUGCCCCCUUAGAUCUAUGAAAUAAAGAAUAGCAGGCAUGCUAUUCGUGUGUAAUGUUACUGUUCUGUUAUAAAUAAUGUAUGUUAUACUAUUUGUGGGUUUGUAUGAUGUUCUUAUAUAAAGAAUGUGCGGAUUUAUUUUGUUGUUAGCGAUGUUAGCGAACGAAGGGCCGGGCAAUGCGCAGCAGCGAAGAUUUUUUAAGUUAAGAAUAUUCUUCUACAUAACUAACAAUUUUUGCGUGUAUGAUUUGCCCAGUUCAGAUAAAAAAAAAUUUCAUUAAAAGUUUAUAAUUUUAUAUUGCGUUGGUGGAUAAAAAUAAAUUUUAACAUAAAUGUGCUAAAAUAUGAACCAUAUAUUGACAAAUAUAACUUUAAUAUCUGGCCCUUUAGUUUUGUUAGUUUAUAUCGAUCUAAUUAUGAUUUAAAUUGGUUAUGAUUAUGAAUUAAUUAUUAAUCGAGAUACAUUUUAUGUGUGAAAUUAAUUCGGAUUGAUAUAAAGUUAUGUAUGGGAAAUAAGAGUGAUGUUUUGAGUUGAACCACCCAACUGGGGAGCAAGUCGAUCUAAAUUGACAUAAAUUUGAACCUGAAAUGUGUAAAUAUGUAGGUCGAUCUAUGGGAUGAAACUUUAUGGGAAAAGAUUAAUCAAACUGGAAGAGUAAAUGGAUGGCUACGUUUGGGGGAAUUGAAACUAACCGUGGCACAUUAGAUCUUGCCUAAUUGGACGACCGAUGAUACGGGUGCCGAUCCAACUCGAUGUUUGUGAGUCAUUUUGUGUUCUACUUGAGAGUGGCUCAAGCUCAGCUCGCUCAUUUAACAAAUAAGCUAAUUCUGAACUCACUUUUCCAUUCCAAAAUGUAAACCAUUGAAUAAGCUAACUGUAGCUCACUCAUGCUACGAUCGGUAUAACUCAAGGAUGAAUAAAUAAUAUAUGUAAAUAUUAUUUUUAUUUUAACAUGAAGCUGAUUUAGGUAUUACUCUAUGUUCUUUGUUAGCAUGACUUUUUUAUUUUAGUACGGAUUAAUACACCAGAGUAAAGACAGAUAUAGACAUAAUAUAUUAUCUUGAUGGGAUUGCAGCAUCUUUGGAUGUAAUGUGAUUUUUUUUUAAUAAAUAUAUACCGAGUAUCACAUAAUAUUUUAAUUUCAAGAAAAAAUAAAAUAUGUUUGAAGUUACGAUGUGGUGCACUAAUUAAUGUUGAGCUCGGGUAUGAAUGUUAAUCUUUCCUGCUCAUAUGGUAGAACCCAGUGUUGGGCUAGGAACGAAACACAAGGUGAUGCGGACCGGAACACAUUAUUGACCCGGUUAGAUGCUCCCUCAGGAUCUGGAUCGGCUCCUGAAUUGAUCCUCGAAUGCAUCACGAUCAAAUCAAGCGAUUCGGCUGAGAAGAGAUCGAAUCAACCGGAUUCUAUAUCAUUUUGCUAAUUAAAGCCGAAGAAUCAGGAAGAUAGUAUUCGGCUGAUUGAAGACUCGGUUGAAUAAACCAAGUCGUUUGUAUUGUGGAAAAACUUGGGUUACAAGUAAAGUUAAGGCUAUUUCUAGAAAAAGCUAUAAAUGCUGGAAGAAUAAGAAUUACAAGUAAACUAUUCCUACAAAAACUGUAAAUGCUGAAAGAUUAAAAAUUACAAGUAAACUAUUUCUAGAAAAGUUGUAAAUGCUGAAAUUAGAAAUAUUGAAAAAUGCAGUAUUCUUUCGUUCGUAAGAGAGAAAUGCCUCUAUUACAGGCUUCAAAAUUACUAUUUAUAGUAAUAUCUUAUCAGUCUACGUUAUUGGUUGGUUUUAGUAGUGGGGGGAGUGUUGUAGCCAUGAUCGCGUAAGUUACGCCCCACUUCCCCCAUAAGGUCUCUCCACCUUCAGGUGCCUUGUUGUCGGCUUUUGAUGCACCACGUGUCCUUAUUUCUUUAGCUCGUGUGUUGGUCAGGCCGUCUAUCUUAUGACAUGCUAAUUUUUUUCAUCAACAAUGCCCCCUCAAUAGUCUUUUAAAUGAACAUUCUGAAAACUAUUGAUGCUAAAUCAACGGCUCGAUUAUAGCCAAGACCCGAGCUUCAGUCUCGUUGAUCUUGGAAGGCUUAAAGAAAGCACAUUUAUAUGGUUGUCGGCCCUUUACUAUCUCAGUCGCAUACAGUUCGGCUUUCCUAGCUGAUUUUUCACUUUCAUCGAUUAGCUUGGCUAUUCUUGAACCCACUGUUCUAUUAAGGAUUUCUUCUUGACUUUGCCCCAAGUUCUAUGUCCGCUCCAAUGUAGCCGAUUGUUUUGAUUUUUUUUUGAAAUUUCUCGUACUGACCAACCCGAACACCCAAAUCAAAUAGAUUUGAAAAUUACUUGUUUUCGAAAUGAUCUUUUAUUUGAAAAUGUAAAUCAUUGAAUGCCAUUUUGAUGAACUCUGAUUUCAGCAUCCUCACAAAGUAUCGGUUUCUGGCCGUUUUGAAAUGGUUAAAGUACUCUUCAACCGUUUCACCCAACUUCUGCGAUAUAAAGCUAGAUUAGCCACAGAAAGUUUAUGCUCUAAUCUAUAAAAUUGUUUGUGAAACUUUCGCUCCAACUCGUCCCAUCGAACGAAAUUGGCAGGUAAGCUCGUGUAUAAUGUAAACGCCGUCUUGAUUAACAACAUGUUAAACAAGCAAAAUUUUAGGAAUGGGUCAGCAGUCGUUUCUCUUCACUGGGUUGUGAACUGAGUAACAUGUUCCACAGUAUUCUCAAUCUCUUCACCCGAGAACUUGUCGAACUUUGGCAUCUUACAAUUUGUCGGAUACGGAUGUUCCGCAUCAAUAUUAGCUCGAUAUCGAGACCUAAAUACAGGCCGCAUUACCGGCCUUACCUCUACACCGAACAUAUUCCGGAUUGCCUCUUUUAUUUGAGCAUACAACUUAUUGUUCCUCGCUGCGGGGGCUCCGACGGGGGUCGGAGCCGGAAUUCCAUUCGGCCCUAGAGACAGCAUGUAGUUUUGUACUAUAGAGUUAAGUCCCUGUACUACAUUGAGGCCCUUUCGCCCAGCCCUCAUGCCCAUGUUUUGGAGCUGAUAAACAGGAAAAGAAGGUGGAGAAGGUAAAUCCUAUGCAAUUUCUGGCUGGGAGCCAGCGUUUACAUUCAAUGGCUUAUAGGCAGCCUAGAAAGGCAUUAUUUCGGGUUGUUUCUGCAGUAUUGUUGGUGCGAUUGGGUUCUGUUGCACCGGCGCAGUUAGGGGCCCUGGUGGACCUCCGUAAUGUUGCUCGUUCCUGGGUAGCAGCUAUCUGAUAUGAACUAUAUUUUCAUUAGACACUGUGAUGGCGGCAUUACCUUGUCUAAUCGAGCGAUACUUUAAUGACUAUUUUGAUCCAAUGCCUGCAGGACUCGAAUCAUCCUAUCCCUUAUAGCAAUCCGACACUUUUGAGAGCAAAUUAACAACCAACCAACGAUGGUGACUCAUUAGAUUAAUUAGAUUAACCGGAGCUUAUAUAAUUAGUUAGUUGUAGUAUAAUCUAGCUCUACAUGUAAUGUUUGAAUACUAAGAGUUAGCGUGUUUCGGAUAGAAUAUUCCUCUAUGCUUUCACUGUAAAUCUAUUAUGUUUCUAUUCUGUUUAUACCAAAGAUGCGAAAAGUAGAAAAGAGUCGUAUCCAAAAAUUUAGAAAACUUUCAAAUGUUAAAAUGUCUAAUCCAAUUAAUUAUACAUCCAAAACUAUAUCCUUAAUCUCUAGAAGUUUAUUCUAUCUAUUAAAAAUCUAAUUGAAUUUUUAUUUUUCUGAAUUUUUUGUAAAUACUAACAUGAUCGACUAAUUUUUACAUUUUUAUCAUAUCUAUGGUUGAAUAAAAAAAUGCAAAAUUUAUCGAUCUUCAUGGUUUUAAUUUUUCAAUGCACUACGUAUUCGAAGGACCUAGUUAAUUAAGACUGAAAGGAACAAGAAAAAGAAAAAGCAUUACAAAAGCCAAAUGAUCCCACAUUAUUAGAAAUUUUAUAUUAGCACCAUAGCAGGUCAGGUUUAUCUGAUAAUUUUUGUUGAUUCAAUUAUCACAGGUCUAAAUUAGUUCUUAGAUCGAAAUCAAUAUGCAUGUUUUAUCAAGCUAUUUUAAUUGGUUCGCACACAACAGACCUUUCGUUUAUUUUGCUUAACUUUUAAAAGAAAUCAAGAUCUCAAGAUCACAGUAAGAGAUAAUAAAUUAUUUAUACCAAUAAGUUUGGAAGUGUAAAAAAUUUUUUUGUAAAAAUUCAAAAGCUACCCGGCGCAAUAAAUUGACCUUAUGCUUUUUAUUUCAGGACAAAAUUUGCUGGGCAGGUGCCCAACCUGUGUCCCUCUCUUCUCUCUUUUUUCUUAAAAAGGGCCGCAACAUUUUUUUUUUUUUUUUUCAUGGUGCCGAUGGGCGCCGGAUGAACCCAUACCGGCACCGUGCGCAAACUAAUUGGGCACGCUGCCGAGCAAAAUUUUGUUCCCUUCUUAUUCAACGCAUAUCAUCUCACCAUUAAUUGUGAGAAAUAACUACCACAACAAAACCGAAAAUAUUCUUUUCGGCUUUUAUAAUCAUAAUAAUUUAUUCCCACAAUUUGAUGAAUAGAAUAAUCCCCCAUAAAUAUAUAAGAUCUGUACAUUUUUUUACUAAUACAAUUUUUUUUUUUUUUUUCUAGAACUAGAUGAUAUAAAAAAAUUUUUUUAAAAAAAUUAUUUUUCAAAAUAUUUUCCAACAUGGCCAUACACCUCUUAUACUCCGUUGGAAUGAGUACAAGAGCGGUAUAAGGGGGUUGAUCCUCCCUCCCUUUUCUUUCACCCUGUACCAAACACAAUUUGGGCGCGGGGAGGGCGGGGUGGAACACUUGUUCACCCCCCACCAUCUUUAUGAGGUUGGAGUGGAACAAGUGUAUUCGAGAGAAGAGAGAGACCUCUUGUAUGGAGGUUGGGAUGGAACAAAAUGUUCGAGAGAGACCCUUGUAUGAGAGUUGGCGGUGGAACAAUGUUUCGAGAGGAGACGAGAGAGAUUUUUAAUUUUAAUUUUAAUUUCUAAAAUUUAUAAUUUAGUUUUUUAAAAUUUAAAUUUAUAAUUUUAAAUUAUAAGUUUUAAUGUUUAAAUUAUAAAUUUAAUAUUUGUAAUUUUUAAAUUGUAAAUUUAAUUUUUUAGAUUUAAAAUUUAAAAUUUUAUAUUUUAUAUCUUUUAAAUUUAAAUUUGAUCUUAAAUUUAAAAUUUGAUAUUUAAAAUUUAAAAUUUGAAAAUUGUAAGUUUUAAUUUUAAUUUUAAAAUUAAAAAUUUAAAAUUUAAAAUUUUUAAUUUAAAAUUAUUAGUUUAAAAUAUUAAAUUCAAUUAUAAAGGUAAAAUUAUUAUUUUCUAUCUAUAACUAUCAACUAUUCCACCUUAUACUCAGAUUUUCAUCCACACAUAAUUUUUCUAGUUCCAGCUUAUACUCACAUUUUCAUCUCAACAAAAAAAUAUUCUUAUUCCUACGAAAAUCCAGUCUUAUACCUAUCCCCGGUAUAAUUAAUUUUUGCUUAUACCCGAACCAUUCUUAGGGUCUGUUUGCAGGUUCCUCAAAAAAUAAUAGAAAACUAUUUUUUAAUGAAAAAAAGUUUUGGUGGAAAUAUUUUUUUUUCAGUUUCUAUAAAUAAAUAUUUUUAUUUCACUUUUUUGAUUAGUUGAAUAAUGUCGUAUAUAUAUAUAUAUAUAAAUACCAUCCGUAAAAAAAAGAGAGUGAGAUUGCACAUCUUUUAAAAUAUAAUAUAACUCACAAACUAUUUAAAAUACAAAUAAUAAAUAAUUAAAUAAAAAUAAUUUUUGAAAUAAUUUUUAGUUUAGUAUAAAUAAAAUAGUUGGACAAAAAGAUGACGACGAUGGAUAGGAGAGACACAUACACCCACCCAAGCACACGGACCCGGAGAGGGAGACGCGGGCGGCUGCGGUAAAUAUCCCGAAGCCCCCUAGUUCCGGGCCCGAGGAAACGACCGCCAGCUGCCGCUGUUCUGCUUUGCGCUAGGCGCCCUAGACGCAUGCCGCUGCCGCUGCUGCUGCCGCUGCCGCUGCCGCUGCCGCUGUCGCUGUCGCUCCAAAAAGCGCCCUAAAAACCCUAGCCGGCCGCACCCACUACCACCGUCGGCGCUAUAGACCCUAAACGCAUGCCUUGGCGCCUAGCCGAACUCCACUACCGACCGCCGCGCCCUAAGCGCCCUAGAAGCUUAGGCGCUCGCCCCGCCUCCUGCGGCCCUCUAAACCCCGCGUGCUCAACGCUCUAGACACAUGCCUACGGCGACCGAGGUNNNNNNNNNNNNNNNNNNNNNNNNNNNNNNNNNNNNNNNNNNNNNNNNNNNNNNNNNNNNNNNNNNNNNNNNNNNNNNNNNNNNNNNNNNNNNNNAAAAAAAAAAAAAAAAAAAAAAAGAAAAAUAGGAAGAAAGAAAGUAAUCGAGAGAGGGAGGAGGAGUAACAAGAGAUAAAAGAAGAAGUGGAAAAAGGAGGAGGAGGAGGAGAAGAAGCGUUAAAAGAAUAAAAAAAAGGGGAAAAGAGCUCGGCUUCAGCUGCCGACGUUGCGCAAGUCGACGCCGCUCAAGUCGCCGGCCUCACCACCCAAGCCGACGCCGGUCUCGUUGCGUCCACAGCCGCCGUCGUGUCUGCCGCCGUAGCCACCCAAGCCGACGCUGCCGCCGCCGAGGUCGAAGUCCAUCGACCACCCCCUGCUGUUUCAGGAAGCAGCUCCUCUUUCUUUUCUUUUUAAUGCACAAAUCUGUACUCCUAAUUAAAUGUUGAAUGGGUAUUAAUUCUAUUUUAAACAUCCACUUAUGAUUUGUGCAUUUUGAAGAACAGCGUGAAAUGUUUCUUUUGAUAAAGCUUUGAAACUUUUUCUUAAAAUACUAUAUAUAUGAGUUGUGUUGGUAUGCUUAUGGAAGCACGGAGGCCUCCGUGCUUUCAAGUUAUUUUCGAUGUUCGGACUUUCGAAUCGCCGAUCGGCUCCGUUAGAGUUGAUCUAGAGUAUUUGAAAUACCUAAAAAAUAAAUUUUGCAAUUUUUCGAUAUCAUUUGCCUAGUGAUCGAAGGGGUUCAAAAUCAAUAAUUUUAACAGCCGUGGUGAGCCGGUUGCAAGUUUAACGGUGUAGAAAUAUCCAAAUCAUAUGAAAUUUUGAUAGAAAAUUCUUUAUACCAUAUAAAACAAGAUCAAUAACUUUGAAACUAAAAAUUUUAAUGUCAUAUUAUCAUAUUUUGUAAAUUUUUAUUUUCAGCCGUUGAUUUUGAGCCAUUUCGAUCACUAGGCAAACGAUAUCGAAAAUCGGCAAAAUUUAUUUUCUAGAUACUUCAAAUACUUUAGAUCAAGUUAACGAAGCGAUCGUCAAUUCGAAAGUCGCGAACAUCGAAAAAUAACUUGGAAGACGGAGCCCCUUCGUGUUUCCAUAAGCAUCCUAGCCGCACUCUAUAUAUAAUAUAUAUAUAUAUAUAUAAUAUAUAUAUAUAUAUAUAUAUAUAUUAUAUAUAUAUAUAUUUGAGUAUGAGUUAGCAUUGUUUGUGAGUUUAUGAGAGCUUAAUAAUUCAUAGUUUACUUGUGCUUUUUAAGAAUACCAUGUCAUAUUUUAAAUCUUUUAAUAAAUGAGCAUAUACAGGAAUAACCCUCAAACAUAAAUUUUCUCUUUCAUACUCUAUCAAAUCACAUUAUAUAGUGUAUUUGUAUUUAAAUUUCUAAGUUUUUUUACACAAACCCAUAUAUAUACUUAUAUAUAUAUAUAUAUAUAUAGUAGAGAGAGAGAGAGAGGAGAGAGAGAGUUUUGCUAGAAUACUAUCGGUAGUAACGGCUCGAUUUACUACUAAUUUAUUUUCGAUGAUAGAGCUUCCAAAUUGAUGAUCGGCACCGUUAAAUAUGAUCUAACUAUUUAAACUAUCGGAAUUCAAAUUUCACAUAUUUUCGAUAUUGUUCUCGUUGUCCAUCAAGUGAGCAGAAAAAUGAAUAGCCGAAAAUGAAAAUCCUUCAAAAAGUGAUGAUACAAUUUUUAUAUUUAAGAUCUAGAGUCCAGAUCUUAUUUUAAAUAGUUUAAAGAAUUUUUUAAUAAAAAUUUAGUUGAUUUGAACUAUUUUAUACCAUUAAACGAGCAAACGCAUCAUAUCGGCCAUUAAAAUUAUAGAUUUUGUGACUCUUUGAUCGUUUAGUUAGUAAUGCCAAAAAAUCAUGAAAUUUGAUUUCUAGAUAAUUUAAAUGGUUUAGAUCAUGUUCAACGGUGCCGAUCGUCGAUUUGGAAGCUCUAUCAUCAAAAACAAAUCGGUAGUAAACCGAGCAGUUUACUACCGAUAGUAGUCCGGUCAAACUCUAUAUAUAUAUACACAGACAUACACACAAGUCAGCCUAGUUAGUGUAAUAUUUUGUUGCUUAGUUCCUAGCUGGAAAAUGUAUAUAUUGUAAACAUCCAAUUCUGCAAAACAUAAAUAAAUUAAGGGAUUGUUUGUUGAUUGUAGGCUAACCAAACGUUCCGAACUCUACUAUAAUACGAGUUACUACUAGUAGCCUUGCUAAAUUUUUAUGUUCCUUUCUAUUUUAUUAGUAAUCUAGUAAUUAAUUUAGAAAAUGAUAUUUUGAUUUGACAAGCUUAAUCGGAGGUGGCUUGAAUGUAAUAAAGAGGGCGUAAUUAACCAGGUACCCGUAGAUAUCCGGAAAGUAUGAAUCCUUUUAUCUCUGAAAAUUAUUAUCUAUUGUACUAUAUAUUUCUUUUCUCGCUAGUAAAGAAUAUAUAGUCAAAAAAAAAAUACCAGAUAAAAAAAGGGAUAGGGAAAUUGCACCCCUAAUAAAUUCUCAUGCUCACCAUUUUCUACUUUCUUUUUAUUUAUUUAAAUCUUUUCUUUUUUCCAUGGUUCAUUUUUCGGAAAAACAACGAGGGCCUAGAAUCUCUUCUGGAGUUUCACAAGAAGAGGCGUUAUAGUGCGAAGCGAGGAGGAAAUGUGGAUGCCAUGGGCACUUUGACCUCCCAAUUGCAUGAUGGAUUUGCCGCACCAGCACUACGAAUACCUGUGCCUGUAGGUUUGUAGAUUACGUAACCAUUUUUUGUUAGACGACUGGACUAAAAUUUCCUCUAUUACUUUUUCUCUCAUCAUGGCUUCUGCUGUCUUUUGUUUAAAAUAUGCCAAAACUGGUGAAUAUGUUCUUAUGCAUGAUCUCGCCAUCACUCAGUUCCUCAUAUUCUGUGGAUUUUAAAAUGCUAUCCAUGGAAGGCUUACCAUUAUAACUGAUUACUCGAAGAUAAGAAGAAUAGGAUCUAGUUCCUUGAAUGUUUGAAAACAUGACAGGCACUGUUGUGAAGCGGAAAAAAGGAAAAUUUCGUGUUGAUUUAGCUCAUCCAGGUGAUGAAAUUGUGGUCGCUAUAGCGGACAAGGUGGGGUAAGUAGCAUCUUAUGUUGAUACAUGCAGAAAAUGAGGUUUCUUUUGUAUCUUGUAGGUUAAGAGGUAUAAUAUAAACCAAUCCGCUUCGGUUUAUCUGAAACAUAAAUAUCUGUCUGAUUACGAUAAAAAUUUUCAUGCAUACUGAAUAGGCUUCAACUCGUAUUUGUUUGUAUUUUGUAUUGCUAGUCCUAGAUAUAUUUAGGAAACACAUCAUGCUGGUGGGAGAUUGACUCAUUAAAUAACAUAUUAACAUCAAAAUCUAAGGACUAGAGAAGCUGCAAAGUUCAAGGAUAAAUUGAGGGCAAAAGUUUUAUUAAUCCUCAGACUCCUGCCAUUUACGAUAUAUGAGUAGUAAAUUAAUAAAAUUUGAGAAGGGAAUUCAAAUCAAUCCAUGAAUCUAAACUCGAUAGCUUUAACAGUUAAAAAUUGUCGAUAGCUUGAACUCAUUUAUCUGAAGUUUGAACAACUGUAAAAUUUUACAUUUCAGGCCUCUGGAAGAGACAUGACCUGCGUAUAUGUUCGAUGCAUUAAUUAGCAUGGUAGCAAAAUGUUCUGAAAAGCAAGUGACAAAUUCAACUAAAAUCUAGAAUGUAUCCAUAGGAUGAAACUCAAUACUAUUUUAUUUUUGUUAUGUCAUUAGACAAGAUUUAUGUUGGAUCAGCUUUGUACCAUCACUUCAUGUUGGAAAAACUAUAUUGAAAGCCUGUGGAUGUCAUGGUGCUUGACUAGUCUAUAUAAUAUGAACAAAGAUGAAACUUUGUGCAGGAGAUAACACAAAGAAUUCGAAUUUUAUGCCUUUUUCUAUGGCUUGAGAAACAUCAUCAUAUAACAUCAGCACAAAAGAAAUUCAUAUGACAUAUGUACAAAUAUAAAAUGAUGAAUGGAUAUAGAUGGAGGAUAUAAUUACCCAAUGGAACUAUAUAGCCUGCUAUUCAUAACCAGAGUGUAGCAUAAACAUCAUUUACAGUAUGUUUUUAUUGCAUUAUUUUAUUGGCUAUGUUCUGUAAUAUGUUCUUUUCUUAUCUUCUUUUCGCAGAUAAGCUUGCUAGAAAUGCCUGAACACAAAAGGAAAAAAUUAAUGGCUCUAUCCACUAAUGUAAUGCGAGAUGAAAAUGAUAAGGUCAGCUUGUUUGUCAUCAUGUGUCUCAUAUCUCAACCUGGAAUAACAUUAAUUGUUUUUGUAACCUUCGAUUUUCUAUGGUAUGGGUGACCUUCCUGAACUACUUGAGAUGCCCUAUAAAGAUCUAUAUAUAUCAUAGGCUUGAGAGAUUAGGAAGCAAGAGCAAAUUUAAAGAUAAUUUGUUGUAUGCAAUUGUGUAGAAUAGUUUAGCGGGAGGGAUAGUACAGUUUGCAAGGUAAAAAGGUCGUUAAUUCGCAUGAAUACAUGCCAACUUAUAUUUAUGUCUAUAAUCUAUACCUAAUGUGAUAAAAUGAACUGUAUCUUGAUAAGCUUUGGCAUGGAUUACCCUAUAUAGAUUAGGUUGAGACAUAUACCUUAAUUUUAUUUCGUUUCAUUGAUUCUUUAUUAAACACCCUCUUAACAUAGAAAGAAAAUAAUGUUUACGUUAAAUUGCAAAUAAUAUUUUAUAUUAGUGAAGAGGUCUUCUUUGCCUUUUCAGGGACUUCCAAAUGCUGGAAAGUCAACCUUCUUGCAGCUCUAACACUUGCGAAACCAGAUAUUGCUGACUAUCCAUUCACAACUUUAAUGCCAAAUCUUGGACGUCUUGAUGGAGACCCUAAUUUAGGGGAAUUGAAAUAUUCCUCAGAAGCAACAUUAGCUGAUUUGCCUAGUCUAAUUGAAGGUGCUCAUUUGGGCAAGGUAUUGCUACAUCUACAGUGUUUUAUGUUACUUUCAUUCUAAGAUAACUGUUUACAUCAAAGCAACAUACAUAUUGCGUUGCUGGGUCUUGGUCGAAAUUUCCUGAGACAUCUAAGGAGGACUCGGCUACUUGUUCAUGUCAUUGAUGCUGCUGCUGAGAACCCUAUAAAGGAUUAAAAGACUGUCAAAGAGGUGAUUUGCAUUUAAUUUUUUUGGCAGUGCUUUUCCUUAUUUCUCUGGGAUUCAACAUCAUUCUGCUUGUCGGUUUACCUGUGCCUUUGAGAUGAUUCCAAAUUCAAAAUUUGUUAGCUCUUGGCACUGUCUUGACUAUUUUUAUGUUUAGAGCACUUUAUAUAGGGACUUCGUCCUAAAUUAUAAAACUGCGAACCUGUUUAAAUAUUGGAACAAAUUAUCCAGUGAUAACUUGUGUGGUACAAGAAUUUCCUUUUGUAACUGCAAGUAAAAGUUUGAUUUUAGUUCAUUAUAUGAUCCUCAUAACCAUGAUUUUUUAGGGUAUUGUAUUCUGCCUACGAGGUGAUUUAUCAUGUUCCAGGAAGAGUGACUUAGAAGCUGAAUAUGCUAGGCGGAUGUAGAUAUGUUGUCAUACUCUUAUGAAGCAAUUAGCACAUGCUCCUUGAGGAAACAAAAGAGACAUGCUGAACAAGUUGUUGGUCUAAUUGCAUGCUUCUCUACUUAAUCUGGAUAAAAGAGGAUACACUGCUAUGCAAUCUGGGAACUUGUAAUUACUCGCGCCGACCUACUUCAUGAUUAAGCUAUUGUUAUUGACUUGGUAUAACGUAAUGGACUAUGAAUCUUUAAUUGAAGUUGUCCAGGGCUGUAUAACAUGAUUGAUUUGGGACAACUUUGGAGCUGAUUGGAAGUGUUGAUUUAGAUUGACAUUUGUAUAUAGUUAUUUGUCUAUAGUUAAAAGGUUUGGGAAAAUAGACAUUGCUUGAGAAGAUUUUCUUAUUAUGGUCCAUGAUCGACAUAGUUGUUGGCUACUUUUCCUUUUCUUUAGUCAUAUGAUAAAAGAGUGCCCUUUCUUGCGUUCUCUCUAUUACGUUGUAAGAAUACUUCAGAAUGUGUCCACUAAUAUUUUUUAGCUAACUUGGUGGUGACAUUUAUCUUUGUUCAUCCAAAAAGAAUUACAUAGUGCAGCUUUCUCUCCGUAAAGCUCUUAAUUCUUUCAUUAAUCAGUUCUGUGACUUCUAUUGUUUGAUGACCUAUGAGGUCGGUAUACCCUGAGGGGUAGGAUUGUCGGCUAGUUGCCGACGAAUGAUUAUAGAUUACAUUAAUCUAUGACCUGACAUUCUUGUGACCUAGUCGGUCGGUUUCUUGUAUCUCGUAUUGUGAUCUAUUUGUCGAUUUUUGUGCAUAUAUGUUAGUUGACAUUGAGUGGUCGAUACUUGUAUACCUUCGGAAGGAUGUUGAGUUGUCGGUUAGUUGCCGACGGUUGGUUAUUGAACAUAUCAACAUAGAUCGCCACAUACUCGUUCGCAUUUUAUGAACAUCAGUGAUCUAAUCCAUCACGACCAGGUGUUCUUUUCCGGAAAAGUGGUUGGAUGUGCUAGCCCGUGAGCCCAGCAUUCAAAAUUGGGUUAUAUGCAGCCCGUGAGCCCAGCUGUCAGAACUGGGUUAUAUACAGGUAGAGUGGCAGUGGCAUAAGCUUGAGGUCUGCGGACCGUCAUGCCAGGUUUCUGAUUUGAUAUUUUUGGGACUGAUCGUUCGGUUGAUGCAUACUUGUACUUUGUUCUGUAUUACAGUAGCGGCUAGUUAUAUUCCUAUAUACUGUUGUUUACCCAUGCAUCAUUGCUACUGUAGUUAUGAUAUNAUUUGCUCGGGUCACAUCUCUGCUAGAGCGGUAGUGGCAUAGCCUGCGGUCUUCGGACCAAUAUGGCAGCUUCUGGAUUGGGUAUUUUGGGAUUGAUCGUCCGGUUGACGCAUACUUGUACUUUGUUCUGUAUUAUAGUAGCGGCUAGUUAUAUUCCUAUAUACUGUUGUUUACCCAUGCAUCAUUGCUACUGUAGUUAUGAUAUUUAUGUAUGCAUUCUGUUCUAUUUUACAGUCGCGGUAGUUACAUGUUCUAUUACUGUACCCUUUUCUUUCGCAUAUUAGCUACUAUAUUGUGAUAUCUACCUAUGAUUUUGAUGAUCUUUUUCUGCCGGUGAGUACUCAUCGCCUUCGUCGGUUGUCUGCCGUGAACGAGCCGGCCCCGCCGUAGGUUGUUUUUAAGGCGAGUGGUCAUUCAUGGUAGAGGUUAAAUUUAUUUAUGUUUUAUUUUGAAAUCAGGAUUAUAGGUUCAUGGCUUCCAACAGACUCAAGAAUCUGUUGUUAAUUACCCCACACUUUCGGUGUUAAGGAACCCUCGAUUAAGAGACCAAAUAUAAAUGUUGAUAAUAAAAGAGACAAAACAGGCAAAUAAAAUUUUAUUGAUAUGAUUUGCCGUUUACAUUGCUUAAGCAGGGGCAUUUCCCCACUAUACAUGAAUUUUAUCAGACUAAAUGUCCAAUCUAGCGAAGAAGUUUUGAUUUAUUGAAUUCUAAGUAUAUGUAUUAGGAUUCAGUUGAAUUUGAAAUUGACUAGGUCCUAAGUAUAUGUGUCAAGACCUAGUCGAUAUUAGACCCUAUGUAUUAGAGUCUAAUUGGCUCUAAGUAUAUGUCUUAGAGUCCGAUUAGAUUCACCUUGGUUGUAUUUUCCAAAGUGGAGAUGUGACCUGACCUCAAGUGUAUGUAUUGAGGUGGGUCGAAUUACCCGAAAGUGAAGAGUGGCUAAUUCCUGAGUAUAUGUAUCAGGAUUAACCGCGUUUGAUAUGUUUUCACUCUAGUUAUAUGUGCUAGAAUGAAGAUCUGACUAAGCCCUAAGUAUAUGUAUUAGGGGUAGUCAGAUUUGAUUCACAUGAACUCCAAGUAUAUGUAUUAGUGCUCGAUCGGGUAUGGGUUUCACUCUAGAUAUAUAUAUUAGAGCAAAAGAUUGACUAGACCCUAAGUAUAUGUAUUAGGGCUAGUCGAGCAUGAUUUGACUUCCACUCUAGGUAUUUGUGCUAGAGCAAAAGGCUGACUAGACCCUAGGUAUGCUAGGGCUAAUCGGAUGAACUCUAAGUAUAUAUGUUAGAGUUCGAAUAAAGUUGAUAUCAUUUGACUGAAUUCUAAGUAUAUGGCUUAGAACUCUGUCGAUUUGGAGAUGUUUCGCCUUAGUUAUAUGUGCCAAGGCGAUUGACAUAGCCCUAAGUAUAUGUAUUAGAGGUAGUCGAUAUUUAAUUUUUACUCUAGGCAUAUGUGCCAGAGUAAAAAAAAGGUUCACGAUGAGAUUUGGGUAUUGGUUCAUGAGAUUUUAGUAUUGGCUCAUGAGAUUUGGUUCAUGAAUUUGGAUAUGGUUCAUGAAUUUGGUGUAUGGACUUGGUUCAUGAACUUGGAUAUGGUUCAUAGAUUUGGUGUAUGGACUUAGUUCAUGAACUUGGAUAUGGUUCAUGGAUUUGGUGUAUGGAUUUGGUUCAUGAACUUGGAUAUGGUUCAUGGGUUUGGUGUAUGGACUUGGUUCAUAAACUUGGAUAUGGUUCAUGGAUUUGGUGUACGGACUUGGUUCAUGGUUCAGAAAAUUUGAGUUUAGUUUAACGACUUUUCGGUCGUUUGGAUUUGGGUUUAGUUAACGACUUUUCGGUCGUUUGAAAUUUGGGUUUAGUUUAACGACUUUUCGGUCGUUUGAAUGUGGGUUGUUUAGUUUGACGACUUUACGGUCGGUUGAAAUUUGGGUUUAGUUUAGCGACGUUUCGAUCGUUUGAAAUCGAGAUGUUCAUGAAGCUUAUUCAUGAAAUUAAUUCAUGCUAGGAGCCCGUUUGUAAAGUCCAUUGAAUUAAUUGAUGAAAUUAAUUCAUGAUAGGGGCCAUUUGGAGAGCCCAUUGAAUUAAUUCAUGAUAAGGAGCCAUUUGGAGGGCCCAUUAAUUCAUGAAAUUAAUCUAUGACAAGGAGGGCUCAUAAAAUUAAUUCAUAGAAUUAAUCCGUGAUAAAGGGCCUAUUUGGCAAACCCAUGAGAUUAAUUUAUCGAAUUAAUUCAUGAUAGAGAGGCAUUUGGAAAGCCCAGGAAAUUAAUUCAUAGAAUUAAUUCAUAAUAAAUGGCCCAUUUGGAAAGCCCAUGAAUUCGGUUUGGGUUGGAGGUAUUUGGAUGACAUAGGUUUGGUAGAUUUGAUUGGGUUUUAUUUAUGGACUUUCGAUUUUGAAUCUUUGGGUUUUGGAUCUUUAUUUGUGGGCUUUGGAUCUUUAGGAUUUUGUUUUUGGGCUUUGGAAUCUUUGUGAUUUUAUUUGUGGACUUUGAAUUUUUGGGAUUUUUAUUUGUGGGCUUUGAGAUUUUUGAGAUUUUUAUUUGUGGGCUUUGGAAUUUUUGGAAUUUUAUUUGUGGAUUUUGGGAUCUUUGUUAUUUUAUUUGUGGACUUUGGAUUUUUGGGAUUUUUAUUUGUGGGCUUUUGGAUUUUUGGAAUUUUAUUCGUAGACUUUGGAUUUUGGAUCUUUGGAUUUUGGGUUAAGAAAUCUAUUCAUAUGAAUUUUUUAUUUCUUUUGGACCCAAAUCUGCAUGUGGGUUAAGAUUGUUUCGGGCUUUAUAGGGUCUGGGCCAUGGACCCGAAUCUGUAUGUGGAUUUGGAUUAGUUUCGGACUUUACACGUUUUGGGCCUUGGACCCAAAUCUGCAGGUGGACUGAAAUAGAUCUUGGAUUUUAUAUGUUCCGGGCCCAAUUCUGUAUGUGGGCUGAGUCGGAUUUUGGGCUUUAAUAUUCUGGGCUUUGGAUCCGAAUUUACAUGUGUGCUCUGUAUUAUUAUUUUUUUUGACUGCUUAUGAAAUUGUUUAUUGGGCCAUUUUCAAAAUAAUUCAAACCCAACUCCUCAGGUUUUUUUUUUUUUUUUCUUUUUUGACUGAGAGAAAUAAAAACUCUUCUUUUUUUUUUUGUUCUUUUCUUCUUUUCUUUUCUUUUCUUUUCUUUUCUUUUCUUUUCUGUUGAUUCUUUUUCUUUUCCUUUUUUUUUUCCUUUUUUUUUUUUACUUGUUGUGUUUCCCCUUUCUUUUCUUUUUUUAUUUUUGAAGUCUGAGAGAGAGAGAGGGAAAGAGUUGCAACCCAACUCACUCUCUGUACGACACUGAGAAACAGAGAGAGAGAGAGAGAGAGGGGGUUGCUCUCCUCUUUUUUUUUCUUUUCUUUUCUUUUUUUUUUGUUUUGUCUAAAUAAACGAAGUUGAUCACGUCGAGUCAUACAAUCGGAUCGAACGAGAAUGGCGAAUCGAAACAGAACCCGUUUAUUUAUUAUUAUUAUUAUUAUUAUUAUUUUAUCACGUUUUGUUCAAGUACGCAGAGUUUAAUCGUGUCGAGCCUAUCGCGAAGAUGGCCGCAUGAUUUUUUUAAUACCCAUGUCGAGCCUAUCACGAAGAUGGCCGCAGGGCUUACGUAAUAAAACCUCCGGUUCGAUCAAUUAUUUUGACCAUGUCGAGCCUAUCGCGAAGAUGGCAGCACGAUUUUUUUUUAUACUCAUGUCGAGCCUAUCACGAAGAUGACCGCACGGCUUACGUAAUAAAACCUCCGGUUCGAUCAAUUAUUUUGACCAUGUCGAGCCUAUCGCGAAAAUGGCCGCACGGCUUGGAGAUUAAUAAUACAUACGCACGGCGGAAGUGACGAUUUGAUGUUAGAUUUGAUCGGUUCGAAACCUAUCACGAAGAUGGUCGGGUUGAUCAAACCAACAAAAAAAAUCACACUUACGCUACGCGUACGCAUGCGUAUCUCCUGUUGUUGUAGAAAUCGUCGUAGUUGCCGUUGUCGAAGUCGUCGUCGUCGUCGUCGCGUCGUCGUUAGAGUCAAAACCUUUUCUUUUUUUUUCUUUUUUUUGUGUGUGUACGGAUUGGAGAGGGGUGCACAUGGCACCCCUCCACUGUCAACCGAGAGAGAGAGUGAGAGAGUGAGAAAGAUUGAUAAAGUGAGAGUGAGAGGUAGGGAGUAUAUAAACUCCCCUUUUUUUUUCUUUCUUUUUUCUUGCUGAAAAGAGAAUUCUCUCUCUUUUUUUUAUUCUACAACUUGGACCAAUUAAUAGGGAUCCAAGAAUCUUUUUUUUUUUUAGAACUAAUUCAAAAUAAGUUUCUCCAAAGAAAACUUAUUAUUCUCCACCUCUUAUAAGAAAUUAGAUAUUCAAUCAAAAUUUUUUUUUCCUUUCUCUUCUUUUUUUCUCUUUUUUUUUAAAAAAAUUCUUUCCUUCUCUUUUUUUAUUUCCUUUUUUUUAUUAUUUUUUAUUAUUUUUUUUAUUUUUUUGAUUUCGAAUGAACUAGGAUUCCUAGUCUAAUUAUUCUCUAAUUUUAUUCUUAUAUAUAGAUGUCACUUUAUUUUUUUUUUACUCAAACAAGGCUUGCGGUACCCACUGGAAGGGAAGACAUGUGUACAUAUUCUCACCUCCCACCCUCAUUUCAGGUGACAUUACUGAUCCGAGUCGGAAUGGUACGUGAGGCGCGUGAUUAGUGGUCGUAGUGCUUUCGACCCGGUCCAUUGGUUUAGUCACUACCUUUACUAUUUCUGAAUAAUUAACUUAGACUCUUUAUGGUUUAGUGGUUUCACUUAAAUAAAUGUUUAUGGCUUUGUGAAGUUAAUUAAAGCACUCGUGAUUUUCAUGUAAAAUAUUGGAAUUAUUUUCUACCCUUCGUGGUAGCAUUUUAAAGGAAAAAGUUUCCGUGUGGAAAAUAGUUUUAAAAAGGGUUUACUGGUUUUUCGUAAUUUUUAGUAUUUCAAAAUGAGUUUCCGAGUGGGAAACAUUUUAAACUAAUAGAUGUGGAUUUACGAAUAUCUGUGAUGAAAUGAAUGGUGUAUGUGAAUGGUGUUUGUAUGUAGAUGUUCAUACUUGUGGUUGUAUCUUAUACUUAUGCGACGCCAUGCANCUUUGAUCAUAUUACACCUUAAUAAAAAUAUUAUAUGAUUAAGGUGGGGCAUUUUGUAAAUAUAUAAAAGGGAAUAGACUAAUAUGCUAUUUUAUAUACCCGUACGUAUUAUUUUUUUCGCAAUCCGGUGCAUGAGAUAUUUUCAAAAUUUAAAUUUUAUCCAUGCACCUGGUGCAUGGAUGAUCUCAUAAGCCAUCUCUAUUUUUAUUUCUUUCUCUCCCUCUUUUUUUU